rnacentral:misc_RNA from 1 species
AAACUGCGAUAAGUAGUGUGAAUUGCAGAAUUUAGCGAAUCAUCGAAUCUUUGAACGCACAUUGCGCCCCUUGGUAUUCCAUGGGGCAUGCCUGUUCGAGCGUCAUUUCAACCCUCAAGCACUGCUUGGUGUUGGGCGUUUGUCCCGCCUACGCGCGUGGACUCGCCUCAAAGUCAUUGGCAGCUGUUCCCCUUCGGCUCGUAAGCGCAGCACAGUCGGCGCCCGGAGCUCUGGUGGGAUGGCGUCCAGCAAGCUAUAUUUUCAGGCUUGACCUCGGAUCAGGUAGGGAUACCCGCUGAACUUAAGC